UCCUGCCCCACCUCGGGCACCGAAGACACUGGGGAGGGGGGUUAAGGGCCGCGCGAGAGCUGUUGUCGUGCCUGGUGUGUUUUGUCCCACUGGCCUUCUGCAACACCCUCUCCUUCGACUCGAGGACGCCUUUUGGGCCACCUCGAAAUAAAGGCGCAUUUUCUUUCUCCCUCGGUUCCGUGGAUUAGAGACCGCAGCGGUGCGCGGGAAAGAUGUCCGCAGUCCCGCAGAGCUAAGUAUCAGAGCGUCCUAAAGAACAUCGCCACCCUGAACAGACGGGCUCCUCGGUUUUCUUCCUCUUCACUGCAGUGACCUCCAGGCAAGAUGUGCCGUUGAGUCAGUUCUGACUCAUAGUGACUCUCUGUGCAACAGAACAAAACACUGCCCGGUCCUGUGCAACAUGCAAGCCACCACAGUAAGACAAACUGACAGAUGAGUGGUGGACUAAUAAGGAAGAUGCUAAUAUUAUCUCCCAGUGUUGGAAAGGGUAAGUAACAUGCCCAGAGUCACAUGGCAAGAGGUAGAGCCAGAAUUGGAAUCCAGAUUGUUGAGAUUCCAUGUUCAUGUGGUUUCUGAAAAGAUUAAAUGAGUUCACCUACCUGUGCAGGUAAAUGUCUUUAUACUAAACUUUGGCCUUCCAUAACUAUUAAUGACCUCUUCCUGGGUCAUAAAGAAAAAAACAAUUUGCACUGGUCUGCUAACCUAGAGGUUGGCUGUUCAAACUCACCCAGCAGUACCAUGGAAGAAAAGGCCUGGUGAUCUCUCUGCUUCCAUUAAGAUUACAGCCAAAAAAACCCUAUGGAGCAGGUCUACUUUGUAAUACAUGGGGUCACCAUAAGUCGGAAUCUGCUCAAUGGCAACUAACAACAACAACAAUCCUGAGUCAUGAAGGAAGAUGGUAGGAAGCCCUGGAUUUACAUCUUGAUAAAUACUUUCUUAUGAUAAAGUGAAUAGCUGAGAUUUACAGCCUACAAGUUUCAAAGUGCCUUCAUCCUAGCUGGCAAAUUUCUAGAGCAUCAAAAGGAAUAAUAAUUCCCAUGCUUUCAUCUAAAAACACUAAGAUUCAAAAAUUAUGAUUUCCACAAGGUCACUCAGAAAGUGAUGGCAUGGUGGACCCAAAUGCCUUCCUUCCCAGUCCUGAGCUUUAGCCCCUUGAACUCAUGACACCAAAUUUCUCAGUUCUUGGUGGUCUUUUCUUUGGGGUGGGGGUCACCCUGCAUGGAGGCAGGAGAUGGGACAGGAUGACCUUGCAUUCCUUGGUUUCUGUUUCCCGGGAAGGAGAGCAGUUUUCUCCCAUUACUGAGGUACGUUUGCUAAGAAGUACCUGCCAGAGACAGACCAAAAUCAAGAUUACAUUAUUUUGGAUUAUCUUUGUUUAUUGUAGAACUUAUUCAAAAUUUGCUUCCCUUGGCUCCUCAGAACUGUGAUGCACAGCUGGGAGAAGUACUAAACCAAAAAAACCCCAAACCCGUUGCCAUCAAGUUGAUUCCCACUCAUAGCGACCCCAUAGGCCAGAGUAGAACUGCCCCAUAGAGUUUCCCAGGAACGCCUGGCAGACUUGAACUACCAACCUUUUGGUUAGCAGCAAUAUCACUUAACCACUAUGCCACCAGGGUUUCCAGGGAAAAGUACUAAGCGUGAGAAAUUUGCCAUUGGAGGACUUCAGGGGAUAAAUGGCAGUGUCCAAGUGCAAUCCAUCUCUGGGACAUACUUCCAGUAGAGGGCAGGGAAGGCUGGGAUCUGUGUGGAGGGAGCCACAGAUGAAGUCCUGGCUUGCAGAGCAGGUGGGAAGAAGCAUCAUUUAAUACUUUUAUUAUGACAGCGUUCAAACAUACACAAAGGUAGAGAGCAUUGCUCUGUGAAUCCCCAUAUACUCAUCACCCAGAUUCCACAAUUACUAAGAUUUUGUCACUUUUGCUCCUUCUGCUCUUUUCUUUUUGUCCUUUUUUUCUUGGCUGAAAUAUUUAAAAUUAAAUGUUAUUUCACUUUAUACUGCAGUAUGCAUCUCCAGGAAAUAAGGACCUAUUCUUAUAUCACCUCAAAGCCAUUUUUAUGUUCAAAAAAAUCCAACAAAUUCCUUGGCAUCAUAAAUACUCAGUCCAUAAUUGAAUGUCCCCAACUGUCUCCAAAUGCCUUUUUAUAGUUGGGUUGUCCAAAUCAGGAACCAAAUAAGGGCCAUGUCUUAAUCAUCUAAUAUGGCUGUAACAGAAAUACCAUAAGUGGAUGGCUUUCACAAAGAGAAAUUUCCUCACAGUAAAGUAGGCUAAAAAUCCAAAUUUGAGGUGUCAGCUCCAGGAGAAGGCUUUCUUUCUCUGUUGGCUCUUGGAGAAGGGCUUUGUCCUCAAUCUUGCCCUCGUUGAGGAGCUUCUCAGGCUCAGGGACCCUGGGGUCCAAAGGACGCACUCUGCUCCCAGUGCUGCUUUCUUGGUGGUAUGAGGUCCCCAACUCUCUGCUUGGUUCUCUUUUCUUUUCCAUGUCCCAGGGAAACUCCCUUUACACUGGAUCAGUGAGGUGACCUGAGUAAGAGUGGUGUUACAAUCCCACCCUAAUCCUCUCAACAUAAAAUUACAACCACGAAAUGGUGGACAACCACACAAUACUGGUAAUCAUGGCCUAGCCAAAUUGACACAUAUUUUUGGGGGGACACAAUUCAAUCCAUGACAUUCCACCCUUUGGCCCCCCAAAAAUCAUAUCCUUGUAACAUGCGAACCGUGUUCACCCCAUCAUAUCAUAGCAAAAGCGUGAACUCCAAGUCCAAAAUUCAAAAAUUCCUCCUCAUCUGUGAAAUCUAGAAUACAGGUUAUCUGCUUCCAAUGGUACAAUGGCAGGACAGGCACAAGCUAGACAUUUCCAUUACAAAUGGGAGAAACUGAAGGGAAAGAAGGCAUAACAGGCACCAAACAAGUCAGCAGAAUACCUGACAUUAGCUCUCAGAGCUUUGAAAAUAAUCCUCUGUUCUCUGAGACAAUUUACACAAUAACCCUGCCCUCCAGCCUCUAGGUAUUGGCCAUACUCUCUGGAUUCUGAGUGGAGGCCUCUCGGCCCUGGGCUUCAGCUCCACCUUCCAGUCUCACUGGGACUGCAACACAGCUCCCUUGGUUUUAGGCGCACCAUUCUCCUAGUCCAUCUGAGUGGCAAUUCCACCCGUAGAAACACCAGAGGCCACGGCUGCACCCUUUGUAACCCCUGAGGUCAUAGUCAUACCUUUUGAGAUUGAUGCAGCUCGGCUUCUUAUGUUGUCUCUUUAGCUUCUGCUUUCUGGUUCCUUGGCCUCUGUGCUCUUCGGACCUCACGCCCACAUCUGCCCUGCUGUGACAAGUGUUCCAAAACUCUGUAGCUUCACUGAUAAUUGCCCAGAGGCACCCCACUCUGCUAGGAGGCUUCCUGCCCACAGGCAUUCAGCUCUCUCACUCCGUUGGUCGGCUCCAGCGCCGGUCUCCUGGUUCUGCUGCUGCUGGUUCUCUGUUGUUGCUGCUUCUCUGCUGCUGUUGCAACUCCAUCCACUCACAGUUUUGGAACUACUUCUACAUUUUAGGUAUCUAUUAGAGCUGCACCCCACUCCUGGCACCAAUUGUCUUAGGCGGGGUUCUCUAGAGAAACAAAACCAGUAGUGCGUAUAAAUAUAUGUAGACAUUUAUAUUAAGGAAACAGCUCACUUGACUGUAGGGGUUGGAACAUCCUGAGUCCUUGGAUCAGGAUAGAGUCCUUUCCCAAUUCACAGAACUGCAGAAGCUGGUGAACCCAAGAUGAGCAGAUUGGAGAGCAGAGAUCCUGCUCACAGGUUGUGACAGUUGAAGAAUCCCCAAUGCCAGCAGGCAAAACCACAAGGUUUCACCUGAGUCACUUAGCUGCAGGAGCUGGUGAACCCAAGAUAGGCAGGUUGGGGAGCAGGAUUCUUGCUCACAGGCCAUGAAGAUCAACAAAUCCCAAGAUGGACAGGUAAGGUGCUCACUCAAGUCCCAAGAACCAGAGGUCAGACAAGAGACAGCUGCUGGAUCCAGAACAAGCCAACAACCUCUGUAAGCACCGUGUUGAGAUCCGUAUCCUGAAGUUUGACACUUCCUAGUCCAUACACCUGCCCUUCCCACCAGACCUUGAAGACAGAUGGCCACCUUCUAUGUAUUCCUGGCACCUAUCAGUGCCUAGCAUACAGCAGAUGCUCAAUAAAAUUUUGCUGAAUUGCACUGAAUUAAAUCCCAAAGUCUCUCAUCCCAUACAGAGGUAGGCAGGUUCAGGAAAAAGGGCGGAAGUAUAUUGCGGUGAAGAGAACUCAGGACCACCAAGACCUGGAUUCCCAUUUUAGCUCUGUUGCUACCUAGCUGUGUGAUAUUGGACAAGUCACUUAACCUCUCUGGUUCUCAGUUUCCUCCUCUGGGAAAUGAAGAUGAUAACUGCUACUCUCUGAACUGCUAUUUGGAUUCAAUAAGAUAAUAUAAUACCUAGCACAAUGUCUGGUACAUAGUAAGUACACAAAGGAUAACUUCCCAAUACCACCCCACCCCAGUCUCACAUCUUUUCUUCAGAAGAUUCCACAAGAACAGGCAGCCAAACAUCAAAGAUGGCCCCAGAGGGUGGGCUCACAUCCUUGGGUCCUCUAGGGCUGGAGAGGAGCUGUAGUCUGACAGACAGGGAGAUUCACUGAAGCUGAACAGAACCCAGGCAGUUGGUGGGAGUUGGCAAGGGAGGCAGGACACCCAGGUCCUGGGAGUUUCCACGGAGGGGAAGUCCCAGGUGUGGGUGCAGGGGUGCCAAGCUGGCCCCACCCAACACCCUGGCCCCAGGGGAUGUGGGCACAGGGAGGAAAGUGGGUCAGAGCAAGGCUGGAACUUAACCCCACUGGUUCCAUAACCUCUUUGCCAGCUCUGGAGGAGGUGCAGCCACAGAGGGCCUGCUCCCUCCUCUAAGGGACCUCAGUUCCAGGCCCCUCUACUUUCUCCAGACCUUGUGUGGAACCUUAGUGCCUGGGCAAGAAGAACUGGAAGUUCCCCAGUAGACAGGGAAGAGAUACCUCCCAGAUCCUAGAUGGAGGUUCUGUGCAAACAGACUGCUACACCCACACACAGAUUGACUGGCAGACACCUUAAGCACUCACCUCAC